rnacentral:rRNA from 1 species
UACGUAGGGUGCAAGCGUUUAAUCGGAAUUACUGGGCGUAAAGCGUGCGCAGGCGGUUGUGCAAGACAGAUGUGAAAUCCCCGGGCUUAACCUGGGAAUGGCAUUUGGGACUGCAAGGCUUGAGUGCGGCAGAGGAGACUGGAAUUCCUGGUGUAGCAGUGAAAUGCGUAGAUAUCAGGAGGAACACCGAUGGCGAAGGCAGGUCUCUGGGCCACUACUGACGCUGAGAAGCGAAAGACAUGGGGAGCGAACAGG